UACGGAGGGUGCAAGCGUUGUCCGGAUUUACUGGGCGUAAAGGAUGCGUAGGCGGAUCUUUAAGUGGGAUGUGAAAUACCCGGGCUCAACUUGGGUGCUGCAUUCCAAACUGGGGAUCUAGAGUGCAGGAGAGGUAAGUGGAAUUCCUAGUGUAGCGGUGAAAUGCGUAGAGAUUAGGAAGAACACCAGUGGCGAAGGCGACUUACUGGACUGUAACUGACGCUGAGGCACGAAGGUCAGGGGAGCAAAC
rnacentral:rRNA from 1 species